rnacentral:rRNA from 1 species
CCUACGGGAGGCAGCAGUGGGGAAUUUUGCGCAAUGCUCGUAAGAGUGACGCAGCGACGCCGCGUGAAUGACGAAGGCCUUCGGGUCGUAAAGUUCUUUCGACAGGGGAGAAAAUGCCUAUAAGUAACUGUGUAUGUAUUGACGGUACCUGUAUAAGCAGCCCCGGCUAACUCCGUGCCAGCAGCCGCGGUAAUACGGAGGGGGCGAGCGUUGUUCGGAGUGACUGGGCGUAAAGAUCACGUAGGCGGUGUUGUAAGUCAUUAGUCAAAGACUAGAGCUCAACUUUAGUAAGGCUAGUGAUACUAUAAUACGAGAGUAUCAGAGAGGAUUGCAGAAUUCCUGGUGUAGCGGUGAAAUGCGUAGAUAUCAGGAGGAAUACCGUUAGCGAAGGCGGCAAUCUGGCUGGAAACUGACGCUGAGGUGCGAAAGCGUGGGUAGCAAACAGGAUUAGAUACCCGUGUAGUC